CGAAGAUUUUCCAUAUUAAAGCAACAUAAAUAGUUCAUUUGCUCUCUUCUUCCUAAUUCAUCUUUUCUCACUCAAAGCCUUCUGUUUUAUUCUUUAGCUAUUCUUUUAUUAUCGGCACUAUUUAUUCUUCUAUAUAAAUGAAUGUUCUAAUUCCAACAUUAUGAAUGUAGUUUUCUAACCUCUUUUCUCCAUUGCGUUAUAUAUCAUGCUUCCUGACUCAUUCAUGUUAUGGUUCCAUUUUGUUCCUGCAAGUAAUGAUUGAGAUUAUUUUUGAAAGUUCCUGUAUUAAUAAAUACACUCAUUGAAGAUAUGUGCAUUCUAACCUUGAAUAAGCCAUUGUUUCCCUGUAGUGUAGUAACAAAUGAAACCUUCAAUGCCUCAUUUGUUUGAUGUUUUUGUUCAAUCUGUGUAUGCAUUUACAAUCUGUCACUGCUGUUUCAAGCAAAAAAAAAUGUGUUUAUCUAUUCUACUAUUCAUCUACACUCUUUAUUCUUAAAUUGCUGACUGAUUUUUGUUUUCUUUUUCUUAUCAUAGGUAAUAUUUUAGGGUGUGUGUUCUACGAUUCGAAGGCGAUGUUCGUGGAGGCCUUUAAAGUCUUAUUAUUAUAUUUGAUGUUGUCCAUGAUAGUGGACAACAUUCUUUUGCUGUGAAUGAGAGUAAUAUUGUUCCGUCAACUUUAAAUCGUAAUGGAGAUGGAUUCAGAGCCUUUGAACUAUUUAGCAAUUGUAACCGAUGUACUUGCAAUUCUAAUUUUACCUUGGAAUGAGAAUCAUUUGAUUCUUCUUCGUCUCUCGUUCGUGUUUGUGAUCCGUCACCAGAUUUGGGGCUGAGCAGAUGGAUUUUGAGGGUUUUGUUUGUUGAUCAAGAAAUGUUGUAGCAAGUUUCCGCCUUUUGAACAUCAAUCGAUGACUUUAGUUGCCGAAGCACCAAACUUUUGAGGGCAAUUGUGUUAGUCGACUCGAAGUCAGCGGUUGAAGAUUUUUCGGUUAAAUCUUCAAUUGUCGAUACUGUCGAUGUAAUUUUGUGUCGGUGGGUGUUUUCUGUAGAAAUCGGACUUGAAAAUGAGUAGUUCUUCGAUUUUGAUUUCUUGCUCGAUUGGUGAGCUGUUGAGAGUGUGACCGAUGAGGGUUUCAAUGUUGGUGGAAAAGACGAAGUCUCUCUCAUUUUUUUUAAAGAGUUAAC